rnacentral:rRNA from 1 species
AUUGAACGCUGGCGGCAGGCCUAACACAUGCAAGUCGAACGAGUGGCGGACGGGUGAGUAAUGUAUGGGCAUCUGCCUGAUGGAGGGGGAUAACUACUGGAAACGGUAGCUAAUACCGCAUACCAUCAGAUGUACCCAGAUGGGAUUAGCUUGUUGGUGAGGUAACGGCUCACCAAGGCGACGAUCCCUAGCUGGUCUGAGAGGAUGAUCAGCCACACUGGAAAUGAGACACGGGCCAGACUCCUACGGGAGGCAGCAGUGGGGAAUAUUGCACAAUGGGCGCAAGCCUGAUGCAGCCAGGCCGCGUGUAUGAAGAAGGCCUUCGGGUUGUAAAGUACUUUCAGUCGGGAGGCGUUACCAACAGAAGAAGCACCGGCUAACUCCGUGCCAGCAGCCGCGGUAAUAC